rnacentral:rRNA from 1 species
CCUACGGGUGGCAGCAGUGGGGAAUAUUGCACAAUGGGGGAAACCCUGAUGCAGCGACGCCGCGUGAGUGAAGCAGUAUUUCGGAAUGUAAAGCUCUAUCAGCAGGAACGAGACAAGACGGUACCUGACUACGAAGCAUCGGCUAACUACGCGCCCGCAGCCGCGGUUAUCCGUAGUGGGCAAGCGUCAUCCGGACUCACUGUGUGUAAAGGGAGCGUAGACGGCUGUGCAAGCCUGAAGUGAAAGGCUGGGGCACAACACCUGGACUGUCUUUGGAACUGUACGGCUUGAGUGCAGGAGAGGUAAGUGGAAUUCCUAGUGUAGCGGUGAAAUGCGUAGAUAGUAGGAGGAACACCAGUGGCGAAGGCGGCUUACUGGACUGUAACUGACGUUGAGGCUCGAAAGCGUGGGUAGCAAACAGGAUUAGAUAUCCGGGUAGUC